UGUCGUUCCCAUGGUAAUCCUGCUCAUUAGUAGAGAAACCACAGGUUCAGACAUUUGGUGUAUGUCCUUGUCUGAGGAGCCAAUGGGGUAAAGCUACUAUAAGCGGGAUUAGGACUGAAGGACUCUAAGAAUCCCGCCCAUGAGGAAUGAUAAGGCAGCGCCAAGGAACCUUUGUUGGCCUCGGGUAGGCGGUCUUCUGCAGUCCCCUCCGGUGUGCCGCUCCGCCCCGCGCUGGGCGCAUGUCCUGCCGUGCUCCGGAAAGCGGGAUCCGGUGCAGAGAAACCCCCAUCCUGGGAAACGGGCUGCUGCCAGAAAGGCGGUCACCCCCUGACCCAUCACAUAACGCGUUUGUGGGGAACCUGAUGCUAAACUAUUCGCAGACGUCCUGCUUCUGGGUCAGGGUUUUCCAUGGAGCAGAGCAGCUCCCUCGCUGCUAUCUAUUGAAAGUCAGACCUCCACACAAGGCUCU
rfam:Pan troglodytes isolate Yerkes chimp pedigree #C0471 (Clint) chromosome Y, whole genome shotgun sequence.